GUAAUACACACUCGCAUGGUCUCAAAAUUAUAUGAAAACUGCGCAAUGCAUGUUAUUCGAUGCCUUUUUAUCGGCUCGAUAAGCAGGCAUAAGUAACUUCGUGUUCACUUUAGUGUGUAUUAAUUUGGACAUAGAACAGACUGAGGUGAUACAAUACAUACAGCUAUGGAAGACAAGCAGACAAGUAAACGACGGGUUGAUGCGUCGGCAUCAUCACGUAUAACAAAAGCCCCAAUCCAAAUACCACGCAAAGUAAAGUCUGGUCGUGUAGCUAAGGCAUAUAAAGCCAGCCCAGUACAUGGAAAGAACGAAAAUUCAGUGCAAGGACAAAAUCAGAUUGUAAGUUUUGCAACUGGUAGAAGCAGAUAUUUCAACGAAGUGGAAUCGAGUAUCCCGUUGAAUAUUAACGAAACAAAGCUACCGGCACGCCCGGAUAAUGAAACACCAAUGCCUGAGCCAGAAACAUCCUCGCUUCCUGAACCUGCAUUGGGGGUUGACGUAGGUGGCAGGGGCGGACAGGGAAGAGGACGAGGAAGUCAAAGACGUUAACCUUAUGAAAACAAACACAUCUUGAUUUGUGUUUCCAUUGUAGAUACACUAGUUUUUGACGUUAUUGUUUCUACAUAAGAUAUGUCGUAUGAUAUAUAUAUAGUAAUAUCGACAUUGGAAUAACUAGUAUGUCCGUAUUUUACAAACGUUCGUUGUACAACGACAAUCAGAUAAAUAAAAUUACUCAAAUAAG